rnacentral:ncRNA from 3 species
UGCGGUUGGAUCACCUCCUUA